rnacentral:rRNA from 1 species
CCUACGGGUGGCAGCAGUGGGGAAUAUUGCACAAUGGGGGAAACCCUGCUGCAGCGACGCCGCGUGAGUGAAGAAGUAAUUCGUUACGUAAAGCUCUAUCAGCAGGGAAGAAAUACUGACCUUACGGUCAGCAGACGGUACCUGAGUAAGAAGCCCCGGCUAACUACGUGCCAGCAGCCGCGGUAAUACGUAGGGGGCAAGCGUUAUCCGGAUUUACUGGGUGUAAAGGGAGCGUAGACGGUGCGCCAAGGCUGGUGUGAAAUGCCGCAGCUUAACUGCGGAACUGCUGUGGAAACUGGCGAACUAGAGUGCGGGAGGGGUAAGCGGAAUUCCGAGUGUAGCGGGGAAAUGCGUAUAGAUUAGGAGGAACACCGGUGGCGAGGGCGGCUUACUGGACCGUAACUGACGUUGAGGCUCGAAAGCGUGGGGAGCAAACAGGAUGAGAUCCCCGUGUAGUC